AUUGAACGCUGGCGGCAUGCUUUACACAUGCAAGUCGAACGGUAACAGGCCGCAAGGUGCUGACGAGUGGCGAACGGGUGAGUAAUGCAUCGGAACGUGCCCAGUCGUGGGGGAUAACGCAGCGAAAGCUGCGCUAAUACCGCAUACGAUCUCUGGAUGAAAGCGGGGGACCGAAAGGCCUCGCGCGAUUGGAGCGGCCGAUGUCAGAUUAGGUAGUUGGUGGGGUAAAGGCCCACCAAGCCAACGAUCUGUAGCUGGUCUGAGAGGACGACCAGCCACACUGGGACUGAGACACGGCCCAGACUCCUACGGGAGGCAGCAGUGGGGAAUUUUGGACAAUGGGCGCAAGCCUGAUCCAGCAAUGCCGCGUGCAGGAAGAAGGCCUUCGGGUUGUAAACUGCUUUUGUACGGAACGAAACGGUUCGGGUUAAUACCCUGGGCUAAUGACGGUACCGUAAGAAUAAGCACCGGCUAACUACGUGCCAGCCGCCGCGGUAACAC
rnacentral:rRNA from 1 species